rnacentral:rRNA from 1 species
UACGUAGGGAGCGAGCGUUGUCCGAAGUUACUGGGCGUAAAGCGCGCGUAGGCGGGCUGUUAAGUGAGAGGUGAAAGGCUGGGGCUUAACCCCAUGCAGUGCCUCUCAUACUGGCGGUCUUGAGUGCGGCAGGGAGAAGUGGAAUGGCUGGUGUAGCGGUGAAAUGCGUAGAUAUCAGUAGGAACACCGGUGGCGAAGGCGGCUUCUUGGGCCUGGACUGACGCUGAGGCGCGAAAGCCAGGGGAGCAAACGGG